GCGCGAAAACUUUACAAUGCUGGCAACAGCGAUAAGGGAACCUCGAGUGCCAGGUUACAAAUCUGGCUGUCGAGAUGCCUAAAAAGCAUUUCAUAGCAAGGGCCGGGCAAGACCGGUGCCAGCCGCCGCGGUAACACCGGCGGUUCGAGUGGUGACCGUUAUUAUUGGGUCUAAAGGGUCUGUAGCCGGCCGGAUAAGUCUCUUGAGAAAUCUGGCAGCUUAACUGUCAGGCUUUCAGGAGAUACUGUCUGGCUCGAGGCCGGGAGAGGUGAGAGGUACUUCAGGGGUAGGGGUGAAAUCUUGUAAUCCUUGAAGGACCACCAGUGGCGAAGGCGGCUCACCAGAACGGACCUGACGGCAAGGGACGAAAGCUAGGGGCACGAACCG
rnacentral:rRNA from 1 species